rnacentral:rRNA from 1 species
GACGUAGGAUGCAAGCGUUGUCCGGAUUUAUUGGGCGUAAAGAGUUCGUAGGUGGUUUGUUAAGUCUGAUGUUAAAGACUGGGGCUCAACCUCGGAAAUGCAUUGGAUACUGGCAGACUUGAGUGUGGUAGAGGCAAUCGGAAUUCCAGGUGUAGCGGUGAAAUGCGUAGAUAUCUGGAAGAACACCGGUGGCGCAAGCGGAUUGCUGGGCCCAUAACUGACACUGAGGAACGAAAGCUAGGGGAGCAAAUGGG